rnacentral:lncRNA from 1 species
UUUAUUCUUUCAAAUUCCCAAAUCAGUUUUUUUCUCAAUCAAAUUAACAACAAUCAAUACAAACCUCUAUUUUCUAAAUCAACAAAAAAAGCAUGGAAAUAAAAUAUUAUGAAAAGGAAAGAAAGAAUGGUCACCGGCGGCAAAAGAGGAGCUCUAGCGCAGGGAGAGAGCAGAUUCGCAACAGAGGAGGUGGUGAUGAGUGGCGGCGGAUUCGACGGCAGUGAAAGUGACUCGGUGGUUCGCCGUAUUUGCAGCGGCAACGAGAGCUCCUUUUCUUUAUUAUUCUGCUCCUUCUCUGUUUCUUUCUCCCUUUCAAUUUGAUUUCGUUUCUAUUCUUCUUUGCUAUGAUUUUUCUUCUUUUUGAUGUUAUUGCUUUUUGACAGUGGGUUUUUGAUUUUUAUGGUGGUUUGUAUUGGUGGUGAUAUGUUGAAGAUGGUGGCUGAUGUGUGAUUGGUAAUGAUGGUGUUGAUGGAUGGUUGAGAGAAGGCGCAGUAACAAUGUUGCGACCGUUGUUAUUAUUUUUUUCCUCUCAAAUUUUCUCUAUGUUAGAACUUUGGUUGCAAUUGUGUUAUUUAUGUUUUCUCUCUCACAAACUCAAUGCCUCUCACAAACUCAAUGCCUUCCCUCAAAUUCAGCCAUUACCCUCUAUUUAUAGAAGAAAUCAAUCAGAGGAGUUUGAACAAAAUGCAAUUCAAAUUCAUCAAAAGUCAAGCACAACAGUGUAUGAAACCUGCACCCAAUCUGCCUCUUGUCAAACUCCAAUUUUCUGCACCGAAAGGCUACACCAUAGCCUUGCAAAUCAGAAGAAAAAUGGCUAUGCUUUUAAUGCAUCAAAGAAAAAUCAACCUGCAAAUUGUGUGCUGAAGAUCUUCUGGCUAGACUAAAUCCCACAAUAUAUGCACAAUACUGUUUUGUUUGUUUCUUUGUGGANNNNNNNNNNNNNNNGAGAUUCACCUUCAUGAUUAAGUGUAGCUAAGGCUCUUUUGUGAGAAAAUAGCAAAGUGAAUGGGAGGCGCCGCACUAUUGCUGCUGUGUUGCUCAGUUUCUUUUUUUUCAUUUUUUUUAUAAUAACAAUAACUAUCUUUUACUAGUAAAAGGAAGGUUGAGUUGCUCAUAAGCAAGCAUUGUGAUGAUGUGGCACUCUAAAAAAUAGUUCCUAAUCUCUAUUAAAAUCUUAAUAUCGUCUCUUUUAAUUUAUUAAAUUAAAUUUUUUUUAAAAAAACUAAUGCAUUAUUUAGCAUCAUCAUAAUUGUAUGCAUCCUUUAACAUUCCUCCAAAUAUAACUUACAAAGUAGAAAAGUUUAGUGACUUUCACUCUCUCUCACACUCUUUAUAACCACCACCUCACAUUCAUUUUCUACUCAUUCCUAAAUCU